rnacentral:rRNA from 1 species
UACAGAGGUCUCAAGCGUUGUUCGGAUUCAUUGGGCGUAAAGGGUGCGUAGGUGGUGGGGUAAGUCGGAUGUGAAAUCCCGGGGCUCAACCCCGGAACUGCAUUCGAUACUGCCUUGCUCGAGUACUGGAGAGGAGACUGGAAUUUACGGUGUAGCAGUGAAAUGCGUAGAUAUCGUAAGGAAGACCAGUGGCGAAGGCGAGCCUCUGGACAGUUACUGACACUGAGGCACGAAGGCCAGGGGAGCAAACGGG